UACGUAGGGUGCGAGCGUUAAUCGGAAUUACUGGGCGUAAAGCGUGCGCAGGCGGUUUUGUAAGCCAGAUGUGAAAUCCCCGGGCUUAACCUGGGAAUGGCAUUUGGGACUGCAAGGCUGGAGUGUGGCAGAGGAGACUGGAAUUCCUGGUGUAGCAGUGAAAUGCGUAGAUAUCGGGAGGAACACCAGUGGCGAAGGCGACUACCUGGCCUGUUCUUGACGCUGAGGCGGCGAAAGCUAGGGGAGCAACGGGG
rnacentral:rRNA from 1 species